GAUAAAGUGUCUGAUUAAAGUUGUAAACUGUAAAUUUAUAUAAGAAUAUUAUUCCUUUAUCG
rnacentral:tRNA from 1 species